rnacentral:rRNA from 1 species
UUUAGUCAGGCAACGAGCAAGACCCGUGCCCACAGUUGCCAGCAUUCUCGCAAGAGAGAUGGGCACACUGUGGGGACCGCCGCUGCUAAAGCGGAGGAAGGAGCGGGCUACGGUAGGUCAGUAUGCCCCGAAUGGUCCGGGCUACACGCGGGCUACAAUGGUUGGGACAAUGGGCACCUACACCGAGAGGUGAUGGUAAUCUCCUAAACCCAGCCUUAGUUCGGAUUGAGGGCUGCAACUCGCCCUCAUGAAGCCGGAAUCCGUAGUAAUCGCGUAUCAAUAUCACGCGGUGAAUACGUCCCUGCUCCUUGCACA